rnacentral:rRNA from 1 species
AUUGAACGCUGGCGGCAUGCCUUACACAUGCAAGUCGAACGGUAACAGGUUAAGCUGACGAGUGGCGAACGGGUGAGUAAUGUAUCGGAACGUGCCCAGUCGUGGGGGAUAACUGCUCGAAAGAGCAGCUAAUACCGCAUACGACCUGAGGGUGAAAGCGGGGGAUCGCAAGACCUCGCGCGAUUGGAGCGGCCGAUAUCAGAUUGGGUAGUUGGUGAGGUAAAGGCUCACCAAGCCGACGAUCUGUAGCUGGUCUGAGAGGACGACCAGCCAAACGGGGACUGAUACACGGCCCAGCCUCGUACGGGAGGCAGCAGCGGGAGAUUUUGGACAAUGGGCGCAAGCCUGAUCCAGCCAUGCCGCGUGGGGGAAGAAGGCGUUCGGGUUGUAAACCGCUUUUGUCAGGGAAGAAAAGGUUCUGGCUAAUACCUGGGACUCAUGACGGUACCUGAAGAAUAAGCACCGGCUAACUACGUGCCAGCCGCCGCCGUAAUAC